UACGAAGGGGACUAGCGUUGUUCGGAAUCACUGGGCGUAAAGCGCACGUAGGCGGAUUUGUAAGUCAGGGGUGAAAUCCCCGGGGCUCAACCUCGGAACUGCCUUUGAUACUGCGAGUCUUGAGUCCGAUAGAGGUGGGUGGAAUUCCUAGUGUAGAGGUGAAAUUCGUAGAUAUUAGGAAGAACACCAGUGGCGAAGGCGGCCCACUGGAUCGGUGAC
rnacentral:rRNA from 1 species